rnacentral:lncRNA from 1 species
UAAAUUUACGGACUGAUUAGCGACUGACUUGCGACCAAAAAAUAAUCAGUAGCUAAAGAGUCGUUAAGUAAGGACUACGGAGUAACGUCGCACUUUAGUUGUAAAUUAGCGACUAAAGUGUAACUAAUAUGUAGUCGGUAAAUUACAGUCGGCAAUUGGUCGCUAAUUUAGCGACUGAUUACCGACUGAAUAUGUGGGUGGAAAAACAAUCGCUUUUCAGUCUUUAAAAAUCGGUAUAAAACACGUGAAUGUCGUUUUGGAGGUAUGUAUACCAAAUAUAUACGAUUGAAUAUAUCAGUCGCAAAAUCAGUCGGAAAUUAGUCGAAAAUUAGUCAGAAAUCAGUCGGAAAAUGUUACCAUAAACAUAGAUCUCAUACCCUAAACCCUAAAAAUGGUUUUAAACUCCAAAUUUUAAAUAUAAACCUUAAAACUAUAAACUUUUCACACUUUAAAUCUUAAUCUAAACCCUAAACAACAUUUCUCAAAAUCCUAUAUUAUAAAUACAAACUCCAAUUAUAAUAUUUUAAAACCUAAACUCCAAAACUUAGAUAUAAAGUUUAACAUCAAAUCUUAGAUCUAUAACCCAAAUACUAUACACCAAACUCUAAUCUCUAAACCUAAACCAUAUUCUCCAAAUCACAAAUAGCAAAUCUUGAAUUUCAAAUUUAAAUACAAAUCUUAUAUUAUAAAACACUAAACCAUAUACUCCAAAUACUAUAAAGUAAUCUUAAACUUAAAAAUUGUUCUUUUAAUAAUUGAUCUCAAACCUUAAAAUUUAAUUCUUCACACAACCAACUCUAAUAUUUCAUACUCUAAUAUCUAAUCCUAAACUUAAACUAAAAAUGGAUUUUGAAAUUAAAUUUUAAAUUU